CGCCAGCCGAUGACUUACUGUCUC
rnacentral:siRNA from 1 species